GUAUUUUAAUAAUUUUGAUUCUCAAAAUUAAAAAAAUAAAAAAAAGAAACCCCCAAACCCUUACCCACAUUUCUCAUUCCUCUAAAUCCUUUCUCUUUCACUCCAACCUUUUCUCUGUCAUCCCUACUCUAGCCCCAAUUGAAAAAAAAUCAGAAACAGUUGUCUUAUUUUAAUAAUAAUUUUCAUUCUCAAAACUAAAAAAAGAAACCCUCAAACACUUACUCAGCUCCUUCAUCCCUUCCAUCCUUUCUCCUUCAUCUCUCUCACUCAAACAUUUUCUUUGUCAUCUCUAU
rnacentral:lncRNA from 1 species